CGGGGAUCUGCAAUCCCACAUUGCUCUCCAGGCAUCUCAGUGCUCUGAAUCACCUCCAGGACAUGGAGUCACCUCAGAUUUUGGGGUAACUGGAUGCGAACGUGGGCAGGGGGACCUUGCAGUGUCCCAGGAAUUCCCACAGUGACACAGGGGCAGUGAGAACUCGCUCAGAGCCUUUGCAUUUCACAGCCUCUCACCAAAUUCUCCUGGCAGAGGAAUCACUUACCUGAUUUCUGUGAUAAUAAUUUCCCCUCACGCCUCCUCGUUGGCUCACUGGACACUCUGACCAAAGCACAGAGAUCUGCUGCUGGUUUUUCUUAUUUCAUUACUCAUUUUGCUUUUUGCUCGGUUACAUUUAUUUGAUUUAGACAAUAACAUCUCUGUCAAGUGCAGUUUAAUUGGUAUCUAAGGCCUAGUCUGCAUUUACAUUUUACUGGAAUAAUAAUGGUGCUAAGGGGGAGGAUAUUUUUUAGAAAAGACUUAUGCUGCUCUGAACUCCUUGGUGGCUGCAAUGAGGUUGGAAUAAAAGUGAUUUACUCUGGUUUGCUUCUUCCCCUACUCCGUGGUAAUAGCAAUCUAAUUAUAAAGUAUGUUUAUGCUGACACAAUCAUAUCCACAAUCGGGGUUUAUUCUUUCAUUCUUCUUUUGUCUUAAUGUAAAUUCUGCCGGAGGAAAAUGCCACAUGCACACACAGACACCACCAGCAGGAUCAUCAGAGUCCCCAGAACCCAUUUGGGUGAAUUCAUCAGCAGAUAAUUCUGUCCCCGGGGCUUUAAUCUCCAGGAGAUCGGUUUGUGGGGACCGUAACUGCUCCAUUUGCAUUCCAGCAGUAAUAAAAGACUCCCAGAGCGCUGAAAAAAACAUUGAUGGGACUUCCUUUUAGGAAAUAGGAUCAGCAGCAGUGAGGCACUAAACUGCUUUUACUUACAGUGGGCACCAGAUUCCUUUAACCCUUAAAGCUCUGCACGCAGCAGAUCAAUAAAAUUCCCAGAGAAUCCCAGAGUUUGUGGCACACAAUUCCCCUGUGGAACAGGCAAACAGCACAGCAGGGCCUGGGCUGCUGGGACUGGCAGAAAGACUCCUCCUGAGGAAUUCCUGUGCUAAGAUUUAGUCAGUCCCUCGUGGGAGCUGCAUGAAAAGGGAACGUUCCAAGGCCUGGAGCAGUGUGUGGGGAUCUGCUCGCUGUCUUAGGGAAUAAAAUUUGUGGAGUCGGUGCCACCCUGGCCCCAGCUGAAUGCUUUUCACAGGGAUGCUGACACUUCCUCUGCUUGCCCAGUGCUCCCAGUGGGAUUCCCUGCCCUGGCUGGGAACUGCAACAACCUCAGAGCAAAACCUGAACCCAAGGCUUCAGCUGUCGUGAGGAGGAGCAGGAAACUCAAAGAGGAGCGGAGUUUGAUGUGACCCAGCUGAAAUUUCGAGCCUGACUCUUUGAACUGGGUUUUAUCUCUUCAGACCAUGACAUGUUGCACACCCUCCUGAGCCCCCAGCCCUCCUCCAGCAGGCUGGGGAAGAGCAUCCUGUGAGACUUCCUUCGUUAGUAUGGAUUUAUGCUUCUGGAGCACUCUUGACGGUUUGUUUUCUCCCCCUUUCUACAUAAAAAAUGAGUUGCUUUUGUAGCACUCAGCAUUGUGUUAUGAAUAUUAAUCCAGAGGGUUUAUUUUUGUUAUUCUAAAUCUGCCUGUAUCCUUUGUAAGGAGAAAAAUGGGACAUAAUUAAUCUCUCUGUUAAUCUUGAUAUUUGCAUGGAACAAGUGAAACAAGCUCUUCAAACCACUUGGUUGACUCUUAAGAAGAAUUUACACUGCAGUUCAGAGGGAAACUCGAGGGCUUCUUUAUUUAUUUAUUUCCAUCAUCUUUGAUUCAAUACACACAGUGGGAGGCAAAUCUUUCCAAUUCCCACUGAGUUUUAUCUGGUUCAGUGCAGUGGGGGGAGGAUGAAUCCAGAAGUUCCCAAAGUGAGAAAGGCUCAGCCCAGAAUCCAGGAGUGCCAAACUGGGAAGGGCUCAGUGCAGAAUCCAGA